rnacentral:rRNA from 1 species
UACGUAGGGGGCAAGCGUUGUCCGGAAUCAUUGGGCGUAAAGAGCGUGUAGGCGGUCCGGUAAGUCAGCUGUGAAAGUCAAGGGCUCAACCCUGGAACGCCGGUGGAUACUGUCGAGCUCGAGUCCGGAAGAGGCGAGUGGAAUUCCUGGUGUAGCGGUGAAAUGCGCAGAUAUCAGGAGGAACACCAAUGGCGAAGGCAGCUCGCUGGAACGGUACUGACGCUGAGGCGCGAAAGCGUGGGGAGCAAACAGG